rnacentral:rRNA from 1 species
GACGAACCGAGCGAACGUUGUUCGGAAUCACUGGGCUUAAAGGGCGCGUAGGCGGGCUGUCAAGUCUGGGGUGAAAUCCCACGGCUCACCCGUGGAACUGCUUGGUAUACUGGUUGUCUUGAGCCUUCUAGGGGCGAGUGGAACAAAUGGUGGAGCGGUGAAAUGCGUAGAUAUCAUUUGGAACGCCAAUGGUGAAAACAACUCGCUGGGGAAGUGCUGACGCUGAGACACGAAAGCCAGGGGAGCGAACGGG